rnacentral:tRNA from 1 species
GGAGGGAUGGCCGAGCGGUUUAAGGCACCGGUCUUGAAAACCGGCGUGGGGGGCGACCCCACCGUGGGUUCGAAUCCCACUCCCUCCGCCA